rnacentral:rRNA from 1 species
CGGACGGGUGAGUAACACGUGGAUAACCUACCUAUAAGACUGGGAUAACUUCGGGAAACCGGAGCUAAUACCGGAUAAUAUUUUGAACCGCAUGGUUCAAAAGUAAAAGACGGUCUUGCUGUCACUUAUAGAUGGAUCCGCGCUGCAUUAGCUAGUUGGUAAGGUAACGGCAUACCAAGGCAACGAUGCAUAGCCGACCUGAGAGGGUGAUCGGCCACACUGGAACUGAGACACGGUCCAG